rnacentral:rRNA from 1 species
GUGUCAGCCGCCGCGGUAAUACGUAGGGUGCAAGCGUUGUUCGGAAUCAUUGGGCGUAAAGCGCGUGUAGGCGGUCAAGUAAGUCUUGUGUGAAAUCCCUGGGCUCAACCGAGGAAGUGCAUGGGAAACUACUUGGCUUGCAGACGGUAGAGGAAGGUGGAAUUCCAAGUGUAGAGGUGAAAUUCGUAGAUAUUUGGAGGAAUACCGGUGGCGAAGGCGGCCUUCUGGACCGAUCUGGACGCUGAGACGCGAAAGCGUGGGGAGCAAACAGGAUUAGAAACCCCAGUAGUCC